rnacentral:lncRNA from 1 species
GUCCCACGUAUUUUCAUAUCAUCUCAAAUUACUAUAUUACCCUUAUUCUAUAAGGGAUCAUGUCCGUCCGUUGUUACCGUAACCUGUCUCAUAACCUCGCGUGGCAGAUAUCAGGCAAUGUUUCAAGUAUGAAAGCGUACUUUUAGAAGACCACGUGGAGAUAGAUAGAGCCGCUGGAUCGAGAUGCCAGUUAUAUGGCAUUGUGUGCGUGAGACG